AAAUGUCCUGUUUCUUGAUCCAGCCUAAGACAUUUGCAGAGAUGACUCCUUUUUGCAUGCUGGAAAAGCAUCAGGCUUCAUUUUCACAAACAGGUGAUGAAGAAAUGUUUGCAACAAAUAAUGAAGAAUGUCAAUACCAUACUUCACCAUGAUUAAUCCUUAAUGAAUGGAGUAUCUUGAAUUUGAGUACCACGACAGCAAAGUCCAAAACAGAUUGGGUGCUAUAAUUGUAUGAAGGUACUGUAAGUGAUGGAAUUCUAAAGAGAUGGAAAUACCAGAUUACUCUUUUUUUUCCCUUAAUUCUUUUUGUUUGGCUGGCUUUUUUGUUUGUUUGUUUGUUUGUUACUCUCAAAUUGUUUUUAGGUAUUUAUUCAUAAAUUAACAGGAAAAUGAAAUAAAGGUAAAUACUAAAAGAAGUUGUUCCAUACAUUUCUGGUGAUAGAAAGGCAAGAUAAGAUCUUUAUUACUGUGCUUACAUAGCACUGAAGGAUGAGCCCAAGCGACCUUACCCAGCUGUUCUAGAUUAUCAAAUUAAGUGAAUAUUAUACAAAUGAAUCAUACAAUUUUUAUUUAUAAUUAAAUGUAGAAGGCAUAAAAGGAUAAUGGCUAUUUGGGCUAUUUAAAUAUCUAUU
rnacentral:lncRNA from 1 species